rnacentral:rRNA from 1 species
AUUGAACGCUGGCGGCAGGCCUAACACAUGCAAGUCGAACGGUAACAGGAAACGGCUUGCUGUUUCGCUGACGAGUGGCGGACGGGUGAGUAAUGUCUGGGAAACUGCCUGAUGGAGGGGGAUAACUACUGGAAACGGUAGCUAAUACCGCAUAACGUCGCAAGACCAAAGAGGGGGACCCUCGGGCCUCUUGCCCUCGGGUGUGCCCAGAUGGGAUUAGCUUGUUGGUGGGGUAACGGCUCACCAAGGCGACGAUCCCUAGCUGGUCUGAGAGGAUGACCAGCCACACUGGAACUGAGACACGGUCCAGACUCCUACGGGAGGCAGCAGUGGGGAAUAUUGCACAAUGGGCGCAAGCCUGAUGCAGCCAUGCCGCGUGUAUGAAGAAGGCCUUCGGGUUGUAAAGUACUUUCAGCGGGGAGGAAGGGAGUAAAGUUAAUACCUUGGCUCAUUGACGUUACCCGCAGAAGAAGCACCGGCUAACUCCGUG